rnacentral:rRNA from 1 species
GAUGAACGCUGGCGGCGUGCCUAAUACAUGCAAGUCGAGCGAACAGACGAGGAGCUUGCUCCUCUGACGUUAGCGGCGGACGGGUGAGUAACACGUGGAUAACCUACCUAUAACACUGGGAUAACUUCGGGAAACCGGAGCUAAUACCGGAUAAUAUAUAGAACCGCAUGGUUCAAUAGUGAAAGACGGUUUUGCUGUCACUUAUAGAUGGAUCCGCGCCGCAUUAGCUAGUUGGUAAGGUAACGGCUUACCAAGGCAACGAUGCGUAGCCGACCUGAGAGGGUGAUCGGCCACACUGGAACUGAGACACGGUCCAGACUCCUACGGGAGGCAGCAGUAGGGAAUCUUCCGCAAUGGGCGAAAGCCUGACGGAGCAACGCCGCGUGAGUGAUGAAGGUCUUCGGAUCGUAAAACUCUGUUAUUAGGGAAGAACAAAUGUGUAAGUAACUAUGCACGUCUUGACGGUACCUAAUCAGAAAGCCACGGCUAACUACGUG